rnacentral:rRNA from 1 species
UUUAAAAAGUGCGUAAUAGCUUACUGGCCGAAUGUGAUCUUGCGCGGAAAAUGUAUGGGGGCUCAAGCACACCUCCGAAGCUUCGGGAUCCAGGAAACUGGAUCGGUAGGAGAGCGUCGCGUCCAGCAGUGAAGCUAGAGCGUAAGCACUGGUGGAGCGGGCGCGAGCGAGAAUGCAGGCAUGAGUAGCGAUCACACAGGUGAGAAUCCUGUGCGCCGAAAACCCAAGGUUUCUCAGGCUAUGUUCGUCAGCCUGAGGUUAGGCGGUCCCUAAGGCGAGGCCGGAAGGCGUAGUCGAUGGACUUCGGGUAGAUAUUCCCGACCUAGAUGGAAUGGCUAUGGAGGACGCUUCUAGAUGUCCAAUCCCGGACUGUUGGUAGUUCCGGGCUAGGGGAAGGCUGGGCCAGUGGAAACAUUGGCGGAAAGGCCGACUCCGGGGAAGUGCGCGCUUCGGCGCAAUCGAACUUGGACUGAUGGGGGCCGAGAAAAGCCCUAAAGCAACGUUCCAUCUAACCGUACUGUAAACCGACACAGGUGGGUGAGUCGAGGAGACUAAGGCGUUCGAGAGAACUCUCGUUAAGGAACUAGGCAAACGAGCCCCGUAACUUUGGAAGAAGGGGCGCCCCGCAAGGGGCCGCAGCGAAGCAGCCCAGGCGACUGUUUACCAAAAACACAGGUCUCUGCUAAGACGAAAGUCGAUGUAUAGGGGCUGACGCCUGCCCAAUGCCAGUCCAUUAAGCGGAGAUGUCAGGAGCAAUCUGAAGCAUUGAAGUGAAGUGCUGGUGAAUGGCGGCCGUAACUCUAACGGUCCUAAGGUAGCGAAAUUCCUUGUCGGCUAAAUACCGACCCGCAUGAAAGGCGUAACGACUUGGGCACUGUCUCAACGAGAAGCUCGGUGAAAUUGUAGCACCCGUGAAGAUGCGGGUUCCGCGCAGUAGGACGGAAAGACCCCGUGGAGCUUUACUACACCUUCAGAUUGUAAGCUGGUUGUAGAUGUAGAGCGUAGGUGGGAGCUUCGGCAUCAAUGGAACACCACCCUUCUACAUCUGGUUUACUAACCCGCACCGUUAUCCGGUGUGGAGACAUUCUGUGGCGGGUAGUUUGACUGGGGCGGUCGCCUCCCAAAAAGUAACGGAGGCGUACAAAGGCACACUCAGCCUGGUCGGAAAUCAGGCGUCGAGCGUAUAGGUAUAUAGUGUGCUUGACUGUGAGACAAACAAGUCGAGCAGGGACGAAAGUCGGUCUAAGUGACCCUCUGGUGGUGCGUGGGCACGCCAGGGUUCAUCGGAUAAAAGCUACCCCGGGGAUAACAGGCUGAUCUUGCCCGAGCGCUCACAGCGACGGCAUGGUUUGGCACCUCGAUGUCGGCUCGUCUCAUCCUGGGGCUGUACACGGUCCCAAGGGUUCCGGAGUUCACGGAUUAAAGAGGCACGCGAGCUGGGUUCAGAACGGCGUGAGCCAGUUCGGUCCCUAUCCACUGCGCGCGUAGGAUAUUUGAGGGGAGUCGCUCUUAGUACGAGAGGACCGGAGUGAACCGACCUCUGGUGUACCAGUUGUGCCGCCAGGCGCAGACGCUGGGUAGCCACGUCGGGCCGUGAUAAGCGCUGAAAGCAUCUAAGCGCCAAGCACACCCCAAGAUUAGAUAUCCCAUUUAGAAGUAAGGCCCCUGGAAGAUCACCAGGUAAUAGGUCGCAUGUGGAAGCGUGGUAACACGUGCAGCUGAGCGAUACUAAUAGGCCGAGGGCUUACAAAU